ACGAACGCGGGCGGCGUGCCUAAUACAUGCAAGUCGAGCGAAUCAAUAGGAGCUUGCUCCUGUUGGUUAGCGGCGGACGGGUGAGUAACACGUGGGCAACCUGCCUGUAAGACUGGGAUAACACCGGGAAACCGGUGCUAAUACCGGAUAAUCCUUUUCCUCUCAUGAGGAAAAGCUGAAAGUCGGUUUCGGCUGACACUUACAGAUGGGCCCGCGGCGCAUUAGCUAGUUGGUGAGGUAACGGCUCACCAAGGCGACGAUGCGUAGCCG
rnacentral:rRNA from 1 species